rnacentral:rRNA from 1 species
GUGCGUAACGCGUAUACAAUCUGCCUUUCACUGGGGGAUAGCCCGAAGAAAUUUGGAUUAAUACCCCAUAGUAUAUAGGGACGGCAUCGUUUUUAUAUUMAAGCUUAGGUGGUGAAAGAUGAGUAUGCGUUCUAUUAGCUAGUUGGAGAGGUAACGGCUCCCCAAGGCGAUGAUAGAUAGGGGUUCUGAGAGGGAUGUCCCCCACACUGGUACUGAGAUACGGACCAGACUCCUACGGGAGGCAGCAGUGAGGAAUAUUGGACAAUGGUCSGAAGACUGAUCCAGCCAUGCCGCGUGCAGGAUGAAGGUCUUAUGGAUUGUAAACUGCU